rnacentral:misc_RNA from 1 species
UUUGAGCUUGAAUUUUCUUUCUGUUACAUUAUAUAAAAUAAGAUUGUUCUUUAACAUGAUUCUUCUGCAUUUUUAAUUCAAGUUGGAACAAAGUGAAGUGCUUGUUGCAUAGCUUUAAUGUAUCCAAGAUAAGGAAACUUGUAGCAGCAUAUGAUCUUGUUAGCUGUUGUCAUUUGUAUGAUUAGAGUAUCAAACCGGGAUACAUUAACCUAAUUAUGAGCAGUUAUGUUGGAUAUAUGGUGUAGUCAAGCUUUGUAGGCAUUGAUCUGUUCAUUUUAUUUUCCCUGGCUGAUCUGGGAGCUGCUUCUUUUUGUCCCUUUUCCUUUUUGUAUUAUGACAAGAUUGUCAUUUUGAUCUGGAUUAACAAUCAAGGACCUUGUAAUGAUAUAUAUGUAUAUUUUAAUCAAACAUUGUUAAAAUCUUAUGAAAAGGUUGUACAAAGGAAAGAAAAAUGAAUAGAGGUAUCAGUGUUUGUUAACGUUAUGCAAAUUUAUUCAUUGUUAUGAGUAUCUGAAUUCAUGCUCUUUACGGUUUCUUAUAAG